rnacentral:lncRNA from 1 species
CUGUUUCUCGUGCUCAGAAUCUCUUGGACUUCCCCUUCUAUAACAUCUUUCCUGCCUUUUCUUCUACCACAUGUGACUCCAGCCUGAGAAAAUGAUCUGCCUUUAAGACUUACGUGAUUAGGUUGGGAUCACCCAGGAUUUUGAAAAAGCAAGCUGACAUAAAUCCUAUAAUCACAAGGAAAUGAGUUUUACCAACAACCAGAGAAAGCUUGGAAGCAGAUUCUUUCUACGUAGAGCCUCCAGAUGAGAACCAGCUAAGUCAUGCCUGGACUUCUGACCCACAGAAA